GGAUUCCUGAUUCUCCUUCCGUGCUUAUGGAAGUCAGGACAAAUUGAUUUUGAGCUCCAUGGGAUUACUUGCUGCUCUGCACAUAAUGGAUGUACGCAGAGUGAUU
rnacentral:lncRNA from 1 species